CUACGGGGGGCUGCAGUGGGGAAUAUUGCACAAUGGAGGAAACUCUGAUGCAGCAACGCCGCGUGGAGGAUGACGCAUUUCGGUGUGUAAACUCCUUUUAUAUAAGAAGAACAUGACGGUAUUAUAUGAAUAGGCACCGGCUAACUCCGUGCCAGCAGCCGCGGUAAUACGGAGGGUGCAAGCGUUACUCGGAAUCACUGGGCGUAAAGGACGCGUAGGCUGGAAAGUAAGUCAGGGGUGAAAUCCAAUAGCUCAACUAUUGAAUUGCUCUUGAAACUACUUGCCUAGAGUGUGGGAGAGGUAGAUGGAAUUGGUGGUGUAGGGGUAAAAUCCGUAGAGAUCACUAGGAAUACUCAUUGCGAAGGCGAUCUACUGGAACAUUACUGACGCUAAGGCGUGAAAGCGUGGGGAGCAAACAGGAUUAGAUACCCUAGUAGUC
rnacentral:rRNA from 1 species